ACAUACUAAAAAUAGAUUUUUAUUUUAUUCAAAAACUAAAAAUAGAAAGCAGAUAUACCAGAGAAGGUCAACCAGCUAGAAAAAAAAUUAGUGUGUUGUAAGAAUUGAUUGAUAUUUAGAAAAUUAAAGUUGAAUGCGUCAAUAAAAAUUAAAAAAUUGUUUUUUGUCAAUCUAUCUUUAUUUAGAGCUCAAAAGAGUCAACUCUAAGAAAUGUUGUUUGCAUAUGUGAUAUGAUACGGUUAGAUAUCGAGAAAGGUAGAAAA
rnacentral:sRNA from 1 species